GAUUCUCAAAGAAAAGGAAGGGAUAAGAAUGGGGGACAGAUACCCCCAAAGAUGUCUCCCUUCAUCUCUAGUCAUGGCAUUGACAACACUUGAAGGAAAAAGGAAGCAUCACUGGACUGGGGAGAGAUCCUGGCCGAGAGGAAUUCAGCCAGUAAGGCUGGUAUAAGAGGAGACUUUGUUUGGAUUGAUGCCCAUGGGUACGAUCUCUUCAAAUACGCCAACCCGAAGGUCUGGGAAACAGUGAGCUCCUCCAGCACUGCUCUGGGAAAU